GGGUCAAAUCCUUUGCAGACGACUUAAAUACGCGACGGGGGAUUGUAAGUGGCAGAGUGGCCUUGCUGCCACGAUCCACUGAGAUUCAGCCCUUUGUCGCUAAGAUUCGA
rfam:Colletotrichum incanum strain MAFF 238704 contig1049, whole genome shotgun sequence.